rnacentral:lncRNA from 1 species
CUGACUUGGAUUCUUGUUCUUCUUAAGUGUGGGGUCCCGAGAGAUUGAUAUCUACAACAGCAUGCCGGCAAAUUCGUUUGUCAGUGUGGCAGCGGAACUAGCUUUAGGAAGCAUGGCCAUUUUAACAGCAGUAAUAUAUCUAGUUGAUGUUGCUCUCCGAAUUGUUGGUAUUACAAAGGGGAACAAAGACUGAGGUGGCUGAAAAUAUAAAAUGUUGUGUAAUAUUCAUUUAUUAAAUGAAAACAAAUAUUUGUUAUAUGUCCCUAUAUCUAUAAAAAAUAUAAUUUGCACAUUAUUACAGUGAAAGCAGUUGAGCAGUGUACACAGACCAAUUUCACUUCAUAAAUUAAUUUACAAGCUACUUCAACUGGUAUAACUACAACUGCAGUAAAUACGGAGUAACACGAUAUCUACUACUACGUUAUACAUUACUUUCUAUCUACUUUUGUAAAACCUUCAAGUAAAACCCAUUAUUCAUUUGAACUGCGCUUCAAAUUAAUAUGUAGCCUGAUCAGCUUAAUAUAUAUAUAUAAUGACGUA